rnacentral:lncRNA from 1 species
CUUCUGAAACAAUACACAGCCAAGGCAAGAAGAACAUAGAUUCUAAAGGUCAACAUCAUCGUCAAGAUAUUUUUUAUUUAUACCAUUUUUUACCACCACAGGGGACAAGAUACAGGGACAAUCUCAACAUUAUGCAAAGCAUUUCAUUAUUGCCUGACUUUAUAAAUGUAUGUCUGUUUUUUCAUGGCUGCUCAGACGAAAGGGAAACAGAUGGUGGAUCAUGGAAGUUCAUGUGAAAUAGCAUUGUGGUAAGAGCCUGAAAAGAUCACCAAGAAAGCUCUCUACCGGUUUCCUUCUCACCCACUCAAUCUACCACUGGGACAUAAAACCAGAACUCAGAGAGCCUGCAGCUGGACAGACUGACAGGAUGUCUCACAAUCAGGAACGCCACGGCCAGAGACUCUGGAAUCUAUCACGUGGAAGUAACAGGUGGAGGAGUUUGAACGGUCAAGAGUUUCCAGUGUACAGUUUAUGCUCCAGUCUCUAAGCCUGUCCUGAGCACCACCCCUCAUCAUCAAUCAACAGACUGGCCAUCAUCCAUCUCAGUUCUUUCAGUGGUGUGUUCCGUGGAGAAAUGGGAGAGAGUUGACCCUGUCCUAGAACAGAGGAAGUUGCAUGCUGAACAAGACCAGCAGUCCAGAUA